GAUUUAAUUAAACUGAUUUUUGUGUUUAUUUUUAUUACAACUUCUAAUAAAUUAUACAAUAUCGAUUCACAUAAUAAUAAUCAAGAUGAUUUUAUUUUCAUUGUGGAAGAAGGAAAUGUAUGUAAAUCAGAAUUAAUAAAAAUAAUUAUAUAAAAUCAUGAAGUAGACACACAAUAAUCAGAAAACAAUAUUGUUUUAAAAAGAAAACAUUCAAAAAUAUGGAUUGGUGAAGAAGUAAAAACAAAAUGAAAAAGUUUACUGAAGAGUUUGAACAAGAGGUUAAUCAGUUUUAAAUAAAUAUAUCUAUUAUAUUACCUACAUAGUUGAAAACUUUUGAUAUAUAUUGCAAUCAUGUAGAUGGAAUCCCGCAUUCUUUAAGAAAAAAAAAAGCAAUUUCCAGAAGGAUAUAAUAAGAAGCAAUAAUAAAAUAAAGUAGAUAAUGCAAGAAAGAACAAAGCCAUUAUUUAACAUAGCUCAACAACUUCACAUAGAAAAAGAUGAGGAAAGGGCACAACAGAAGUAUGCCAGAUAAAAGGGUAGAAGGGAGACACAGAUAAGAAGUGGAUUUAUUCAAUUUAAAAAUUAAACUGCAAAUGACAAAUAAAUAAAUAAUAAAAAAAUCA
rnacentral:lncRNA from 1 species